GUCUUUUCUCGGGUUCUGUAACGGGUUGGAUCCGACGCCUCUUGAAGGCUACUAUAGGCUCUCCUCCCCAACUCCUACUCAAUACGUCCGCGACGUACAGAACGGUAACUUGUCGCCUAGAUAUCCAAGCUUGGGUACACGGGGAAACCCACCCCCUUGGGCGGAUGGGCAGCAAGGCUGAAUUGAGAGGG
rfam:Anopheles atroparvus strain EBRO unplaced genomic scaffold supercont1.4, whole genome shotgun sequence.